rnacentral:rRNA from 1 species
GGGGAAUUUUGGACAAUGGGCGAAAGCCUGAUCCAGCCAUGCCGCGUGUCUGAAGAAGGCCUUCGGGUUGUAAAGGACUUUUGUCAGGGAAGAAAAGGGCGGGGUUAAUACCCCUGUCUGAUGACGGUACCUGAAGAAUAAGCACCGGCUAACUACGUGCCAGCAGCCGCGGUAAUACGUAGGGUGCGAGCGUUAAUCGGAAUUACUGGGCGUAAAGCGGGCGCAGACGGUUACUUAAGCAGGAUGUGAAAUCCCCGGGCUCAACCUGGGAACUGCGUUCUGAACUGGGUGACUAGAGUGUGUCAGAGGGAGGUAGAAUUCCACGUGUAGCAGUGAAAUGCGUAGAGAUGUGGAGGAAUACCGAUGGCGAAGGCAGCCUCCUGGGAUAACACUGACGUUCAUGCUCGAAAGCGUGGGUAGCAAACAGGAUUAGAUACCCUGGUAGUCCACGCCCUAAACGAUGUCAAUUAGCUGUUGGGCAACUUGAUUGUUCAGUAGCGUAGCUAACGCGUGAAAUUGACCGCCUGGGGAGUACGGUCGCAAGAUUA